UCCUGGACUGGCAGCGUCGGCUCGUUUGAACCCCGCCUUGGUAGUUCUUUGGGUGUAACCUGUAUUGUUACUGGACACGUUUUGGAGCAUUUUUCAAAGGACAUCUAGAAACUUCAGGACAUUUCUACAGAGACUGGAUGGAGCUGGGCACAAGCCUGUAACCUCAGCACUCUGAGGCAGGAGGAUCGUCCUGAGUUCGAGGCCUGAGCUACACAAGAGCCUCUGUUAAAAAAAAAAGAAAAAAGGAGAUGCCACCACACAGUGCAACGAGCAAGCCCACAUAUGCUGACAGAUCCAGGACACAAUACCACAAAGAUCCAGCUACACAGGAUCCACACUGGAAGAGAUGACCGAGACAUACUGCCAGAAUCUGCUUGU